rnacentral:rRNA from 1 species
UGGGGGAUAUUGCACAAUGGGCGAAAGCCUGAUGCAGCGACGCCGCGUGGGGGAUGAAGGCCUUCGGGUUGUAAACUUCUUUUGCUCUGAACAAGGCGCACCAUGGGGUGUGUUGAGUGUAGGGGUUGAUUAGCGCCGGCUAACUACGUGCCAGCAGCCGCGGUAAUACGUAGGGCGCGAGCGUUGUCCGGAAUUAUUUGUCGUAAAGGGCUUGUAGGUGGCUGGUUGCGUCUGUCGUGAAAGCUCAUGGCUUAACUGUGGGGUGGGGGUGGGUAUGGGCUGGCGAGAGUGGAGUAGAGGAGGGUGGAAUUCCUGGUGUAGCGGUGGAAUGCGCAGCUAUCAGGUGGAAUACCGGUGGAGAAGGCGGGUCUCUGGGCUGUUACUGACACUGAGGAGCGAAAGCAUGGGGAGCGAACAGA